UCCCGGAUGUUAUCGGCGGACGGGUGAGUAACACGUGGGUAACCUGCCUGUAAGACUGGGAUAACUCCGGGAAACCGGAGCUAAUACCGGAUAGUUCCUUGAACCGCAUGGUUCAAGGAUGAAAGACGGUUUCGGCUGUCACUUACAGAUGGACCCGCGGCGCAUUAGCUAGUUGGUGAGGUAACGGCUCACCAAGGCGACGAUGCGUAGCCAACCUGAGAGGGUGAUCGGCCACACUGGGACUGAGACACGGCCCAGACUCCUACGGGAGGCAGCAGUAGGGAAUCUUCCGCAAUGGACGAAAGUCUGACGGAGCAACGCCGCGUGAGUGAUGAAGGUUUUCGGAUCGUAAAGCUCUGUUGUUAGGGAAGAACAAGUGCAAGAGUAACUGCUUGCACCUUGACGGUACCUAACCAGAAAGCCACGGCUAACUACGUGCCAGCAGCCGCGGUAAUACGUAGGUGGCAAGCGUUGUCCGGAAUUAUUGGGCGUAAAGGGCUCGCAGGCGGUUUCUUAAGUCUGAUGUGAAAGCCCCCGGCUCAACCGGGGAGGGUCAUUGGAAACUGGGAAACUUGAGUGCAGAAGAGGAGAGUGGAAUUCCACGUGUAGCGGUGAAAUGCGUAGAGAUGUGGAGGAACACCAGUGGCGAAGGCGACUCUCUGGUCUGUAACUGACGCUGAGGAGCGAAAGCGUGGGGAGCGAACAGGAUUAGAUACCCUGGUAGUCCACGCCGUAAACGAUGAGUGCUAAGUGUUUAGGGGGGUUUCCGCCCCUUAGUGCUGCAGCUAACGCAUUAAGCACUCCGCCUGGGGGAGUACGGUCGCAAGACUGAAACUCAAAGGAAUUGACGGGGGCCCGCACAAGCGGUGGAAGCAUGUGGGUUUAAUUCGAAGCAACGCGAAGAACCUUUACCAGGUCUUGACAUCCUCUGACAACCCUAGAAGAUAGGGCUUUUCCCUUCGGGGGACAGAGUGGACAGGUGGGUGGCAUGGGUUGU
rnacentral:rRNA from 1 species